rnacentral:lncRNA from 1 species
AGCAAUGGCAGACUGGGUCCCCAGAAGAGUGGUUGAAGGGGUACUCCCAUGAGUGACUGGACACCAGCUUCAAGCUGACUAUGCCCAGGCCUGGAAAUGACCGAGUGGAUUUGAGAGUUCCAGAGGUCCUGGGCCCCUGAGAUUGAGCUGACUGGUAGCAGGGGAAUUUCUGUGUCAGAAAACAAGAGGAAGGAGCCAAACCCUGUCCUGUCUGGACAAAAGGCAUGAACUCCAGACACCAUGAACCAAGAGGAAUAACUGCACUGAGUCUUCAUUUUAGCAUCCAGGUGGGAAACCACAUUGGCAUCCUGGCUUUCAGAUUUAUCCUCCUAGAAUCCUCCUAAUUUCUGAGCCUAAUUAUCCUCCUAAUACCUGAGCCAAGUCUAGAAAGAAACCAGGGAUUUGAAGACACCACAAUGGGCAGCUGUGCCUUCCCUAUAUGAGGGAUGGAAUGGACAAAGAUUCAAACAAUGCUGGACAGGAAGAGUACUGAGAAAGUCAGCCUGAUUGGACCAUACCUACAAGAUGAGAAGGGAAAGAAGAGAGCAAAAGACUGAAAAGGUAGACUGGGGUCAAGACAUAAAGAUCUUCAGAAAUGCUAAACAGAGGGACUCUUUUGUGAAAACAGAGGUAAUAGG